CACCCAGAAGCAGGAGCCACUCCCACGCAGGUAGGAUUUCGUGAUGUCGGCCAUGUCUGUCCGCAGGCUGAGGGCCACGUACUUCUUCCAGGGAUAGGAGGCAGCAAACCUCAGGACCACGAGGAUGGCGAGGCUGGCCAGGAGCGCGAGGAGCCAGGAGCCAGAGAGCAGAAGGAGGCCGAGGGGGACCCCAGAUGGCUGACUAGAGAGGCCCUUCACUCACCUCAGCCACGGAAAAACACCAGAACACAAGGAAGGAUCGAGUUCCAGGAGACAGACUGAGGGCAAACGUCAGGAGCAAAGCCGCGAGAACUUGGACCGCCCGCGCACCAGGCCCGGCCACCAUCUUGCUGGGAAGGGAUAGGAGGCAGCAAGCCUCAGGACCGCGAGGACGGCGAGGCUGGCCAGGGAGCGCGAGGAGCCAGGAGCCAGAGAGCAGAAGGAGGCCGAGGGG